CGAGUUAUCUGAACCUUCGGGGAACGAUAACGGCGUCGAGCGGCGGACGGGUGAGUAAUGCCUAGGAAAUUGCCCUGAUGUGGGGGAUAACCAUUGGAAACGAUGGCUAAUACCGCAUGAUGCCUACGGGCCAAAGAGGGGGACCUUCGGGCCUCUCGCGUCAGGAUAUGCCUAGGUGGGAUUAGCUAGUUGGUGAGGUAAGGGCUCACCAAGGCGACGAUCCCUAGCUGGUCUGAGAGGAUGAUCAGCCACACUGGAACUGAGACACGGUCCAGACUCCUACGGGAGGCAGCAGUGGGGAAUAUUGCACAAUGGGCGCAAGCCUGAUGCAGCCAUGCCGCGUGUGUGAAGAAGGCCUUCGGGUUGUAAAGCACUUUCAGUCGUGAGGAAGGUAGUGUAGUUAAUAGCUGCAUUAUUUGACGUUAGCGACAGAAGAAGCACCGGCUAACUCCGUGCCAGCAGCCGCGGUAAUACGGAGGGUGCGAGCGUUAAUCGGAAUUACUGGGCGUAAAGCGCAUGCAGGUGGUUUGUUAAGUCAGAUGUGAAAGCCCGGGGCUC
rnacentral:rRNA from 1 species